UCCUCGAUAGCUCAGUUGGUUAGAGCACCUGACUGUUAAUCAGGGGGUCCUAGGUUCAAGUCCUAGUCGAGGAGC
rnacentral:tRNA from 1 species